rnacentral:lncRNA from 1 species
GAUAAUUUGGGUAAGGUCAACUGCACUGGCAGCUAUGGGGGCUAAAUUGGUCCAUUUACAUGCUACCAUCAAUAUCCAUAUCUAAAGUAAUAUUUCCUAAAAAGAAAAUAGCAUCAGAUCCAACAAUACAAUAUCUCAAUACUCAAAUAAAAAUUAUCUCUUUAUAACUGUUAAAUCAAAUAUUCAAAUCGAAAACUGUUUCUUCAUAACUGUUAAAUCCAAAACCAAAUUUACAAAAAAGUUGAAAAAAAAAAACAAAUUUUACCAACAAAAAUCAAUAAAUCUACUGAUAAUAAAACUUUCGUAGCAGAUGAACCAAUUUAUUUUGACCUUCUGCAGCAGAUGAACCAGUUUAUUUCGAGCAGCAAAGAUUAAUUUAUGUAGGGAACCAACGUUAGACAGUGAAUGAGUUUCUUCUAGAUAGAGAAAGGAGUAAGAGAUAGAAGUUUGGGUACUCUCAAAUAGGUUUUUUCUUUCCUUUUGUUUCUUUUCUUGCAGAAUGCAAGAUGAUAUGCGGCCUGCUUGGUAUUCCCGGCCAUGGGCUGACGAUCGAGGGUAUGGGAGGAAGAAGAGGAGAGAAGAAGAGAUUGGUAGUUGGGGUUGGGGAUAAUGUAAUUAAGUCAGGUAUGUUAGUGUAAACUAAAAAUAAUUAACGAAAUGGAUAAAGACCGUGUGAUCGAAGAGGGUGGGCGAUUGAGAUUAAAAUUAAAACUUGGGUGGGCUUGCGCGUUAUUGAAUUGGGCGACU